rnacentral:rRNA from 1 species
GGACUACCGGGGUAUCUAAUCCUGUUCGCUCCCCACACUUUCGCUCCUCAGCGUCAGGACAUGCCCAGAGAACCGCCUUCGCCACCGGUGUUCCUCCUGAUAUCUGCGCAUUUCACCGCUACACCAGGAAUUCCGUUCUCCCCUGCAUACCUCCAGUCUGCCCGUAUCGAAAGCAAGCCACCAGUUAAGCCAGUGGAUUUCACUCCCGACGCGACAAACCGCCUACGAGCCCUUUACGCCCAAUAAUUCCGGACAACGCUCGCACCCUACGUAUUACCGCGGCUGCUGGCAC